GAUGAAGAACGCAGCGAAAUGCGAUACGUAAUGUGAAUUGCAGAAUUCAGUGAAUCAUCGAGUCUUUGAACGCACAUUGCGCCCCCUGGUAUUCCGGGGGGCAUGCCUGUCCGAGCGUCAUUGCUGCCCUCAAGCACGGCUUGUGUGUUGGGCCUCCGUCCUCCUCCCGGGGGACGGGCCCGAAAGGCAGCGGCGGCACCGCGUCCGGUCCUCGAGCGUAUGCGGCUUCGUCACCCGCUCUUGUAGGCCCGGCCGGCGCUUGCCGACACAUCAAUCUUUUUUCCAGGUUGACCUCGGAUCAGGUAGGGAUACCCGCUGAACUUAAGCAUAUCAAUAAGCGGAGGA
rnacentral:misc_RNA from 1 species